GACAAGCCAAGCAGAGAGUCUCACGGCUUGCUUUCUUUGGUACAAGGUGUUUUUGGUGGUGUUAGUCGUAUAUCGAGUCGCAAGAAAGAAUCGUUUUGAAGAACUGUUUGGAAUCACCUGUGUCCGAUACAUAGAUAAUAAAGCAUGUUACAUCUAAACAGCCCGACUAAAAGGUGAACAGGAAACAACGACAGCAAGUGCAAUGGCAGAACAACGAUGAAAUUGAAUUUAACAAAGCUGCUUUUGAAACACUUGUCUCUUUGAUUUUCUAAAGAAGACAUAAGUAACUAUAGAUGUUUUACUAAUGUAUUAUUAAACUAACAUUAAUAUAAAUGUAUAUAUUUGUGUAACUCUUUCACACUAUAUAUGUACACUCCUUCUUCGUGUAAUUUUUACGAAUGUGAUUUUUGGUUUGUUGCUUUA